rnacentral:lncRNA from 1 species
ACAUUGAAUUUAGAAAGUUAAAUCUAGCAAACAACCUGACAGACUGUUCAGUCUUUAAUAAUGUGAGAAUAAACAGAAUAAAUUAAAAGCACACCAUAUUCUUCUCAGCUUCCUCAGGGGCUUUGUCCAAACAGCUUGAACAACUGCAAAAUAAUAUUCAGGAACCAUGAUAGUGUUUGGUACAUAGAGGACACUGGAAAUGGUUUUCUUAACUGAACAAGUGACUAGAAUAAAGGAAUUAAUGAACGACAUCAGAGCUGAAAUCCCAAACCAUAAAUCAUAAAAGGAUCAGACAGCAAAGAGUACUCAAAAGCUGAUUUAUUGAGAUCCUGAUGAGUUUGAAGUAACUAGAAACUUGAUCAAACAGUGACAAGACCCAAGAUUUGUUUUACUCUAAAGUGAGAAAUUAUCCUCAACAAAAAAACAUUUCACAGUGAGAAUCAGAAGAAUAUUUGCAUCAGGCAACUCUGGGUGCUAGAUAUUUAUUUUUUUUCUUUUUCACAUGAACUAUAAAAACUUACCACAAAAGACUGAUCUCCACAACUGCUUAUACUCUAGGUAUGUGAACAUAAGCAUAAACCCAAAGGUCAUUAUCCAGUCACAGUUUGGUAUUUUAUCAACAUCAUGGCAAAUGAUGUUGUUCAUAAGAACCUGAAUCUUAUGCUUCCAUUUUCCAGGAUUAUUAUACAUUGCACUGUUCUUGCUGAUACUCCAAAGACAUGUAGAAAAUAGAAAGGUAUAUUUCUCUCUUACCAUUUAUAGUCGAUUUCUUGAAAGAUAUGUACAUGUCGUUACCUUGCGUUCACCCCGCAACUGACUUCUGUAUAAUUUUCUACUCACCACCAGUGAAAAUGCACCUGUCAAAGGUAUUAACAUCACCCUUAUAACAAAUCUAAUUACCAUUUUUAGCCCUCACCUUAUUUAUCAUUUGAGUUCUUUUAAAAUUCUCAGAAGUUCCACCAUUGGAAAUAAAAAUGAAAAAGAUUUUGCAAAGGCAAUUAAUAAUGAGUCAUCAGAGAGAAUGAAGCCACCAAGGAAAUCUAAAGUUUCAAAAACUUGGGAAAGGUCGACAAUGUCAGACAUCCAAGGGAUGACUGAAAAUAUUCUGCUAAUAUGCCAUUGGUGAACAAUACAGAGAUUCCAAAAUGAAAGAAAAGUCAUCCUCUCUGGAAAUGUGAAGCAUAACUAAAGUUUGACCAACAAGUUGUAGAAGUGAAAGGCAUCAAAUAUAAUAACCAAAGAAAACAGAAAAAUACCACACGUCCGGUAAUUCCUCAGCUGGCAGUAAAAACAGAUGAUUGAUUUAAACCUUUUCUCUACAUACAUUCUCAGGUGGGAGGCCUUUGCCCCACAUUUUGCUAAUAAUGUUAUGCAUUUCAUGCAUCUAAUGUCACACUCUCAGUGCUGGAAUCAAAGCCAUAUAAUCAUCAAACAGGUCUUUGGUCUUUGUUAUUCAAAAUCAGAGGAAAAUAGAAUUAAUUAAUGACUAAAAAAUAGUUAAGUCUCUCACUUUUUGAAUCCACCUCUCUUUAUAGUAUUCCUUAGGUUUCCCUGUUUUAAGAGUUAGCACUUGUAUCUGAUGGGAGGGGAGUUAGCUUUUUAAAAUUUUUUUUAAU